UCGAACAUGGUCACUCCUGAGUCCUUAUUCUCCUGCUCUGCGAAGCUCGAGGUCUCCCCUGUAGAGUCUGGGCUGCCCUGGGGCCAGGCAGCAGCGUGUGGAUACAGCUGCCAGGCAGAGCUGGGCAAACUCUGCAGGGGCCAUUUGCCAGCCUGCUGUUCAGAGACAGGAACUCGCCAAGCCCCAGGGAAGGCCAGUUUCCUCGGAGCCCGGUCACAGUCUGUUCUCCAGCCCCGCUCUCUGGAUCGGGCUCUUCCUGGAGAAGGUGCUGACAGCCGCCUUCCUCCUCUUCCUCUUCCUGAGAAGCAAAGCGUAACCAGCCCCUGCUCAAUUUCCCUGUUUUCUCGCACUGUUGCCUCCUGCCAACUUCUCUGUCUACAGCCUCUGUCCCCCAGUGCAGGAAACGAGUCCCUAGAUGGUGGAGCUGCAGUGACCCCUGCUGGCCAAUCAGAUGGAGCCCAGGCUUGACAGAGCGAAGGUGAAGGGGUGACCUGGUUACAGUCUAUAAGUACCUACGUGACAUGGGGAACAAACAUUUCAUAAUGGGCUCGUCAGUCUGGCAGAUAAAGGUCUGACACACGAUCCAAUGAAUGGAAGUUGAAGCUAUACAAAUUCUGACUGGAAAUGAGGCCUAAAUUUUUAAUGAUGAGAGUAAUUAACCAUUGGAACAAUUUACCAAGAGUUGUGGUGGAUUCUCCAUCACUGACAAUUUUAAAAU